rnacentral:rRNA from 1 species
AGUGAACGCUGGCGGUAGGCCUAACACAUGCAAGUCGAACGGCAGCACAGUAAGAGCUUGCUCUUACGGGUGGCGAGUGGCGGACGGGUGAGGAAUACAUCGGAAUCUACUUUUUCGCGGGGGAUAACGUAGGGAAACUUACGCUAAUACCGCAUACGACCUACGGGUGAAAGCAGGGGAUCUUCGGACCUUGCGCGAUUGAAUGAGCCGAUGUCGGAUUAGCUAGUUGGCGGGGUAAAGGCCCACCAAGGCGACGAUCCGUAGCUGGUCUGAGAGGAUGAUCAGCCCCAGUGGAACUGAGCACAGGUCAAGACCUCUCGGGGGGGGAGAAGGGGGGAAUUUUGGACAAUGGGGCGAACCCGGCUCCAGUCAUCCGGGGUGGGUGAAGAAGGCCUUCGGGUUUUAAAGCCCCUUUUUUUGGGAAAGAAAAGAAGCAGGUUAAUACCCCGCUGUUCGGACGGUACCAAAAGAAUAAGCACCGGCUAAUUUCGU